UACGAAGGGGGCUAGCGUUGUUCGGAAUUACUGGGCGUAAAGCGCGCGCAGGCGGCUAUCCAAGUCAGUGGUGAAAGCCCGGAGCUCAACUCCGGAACUGCCAUUGAAACUGUUUAGCUUGAGGACGAGAGAGGUGAGUGGAAUUCCCAGUGUAGAGGUGAAAUUCGUAGAUAUCGGGAAGAACACCCGUGGCGAAGGCGGCUCUCUGGGACGGUACUGACGCUGAGACGCGAAAGCGUGGGGAGCGAACAGG
rnacentral:rRNA from 1 species